rnacentral:tRNA from 1 species
AAGCAAUUAGCCAAAUGGUAAAGGCAAUAGACUGUAAAUCUAUGAUUGUGGGUUCAAUUCCUGCAUUGUUUGACA